rnacentral:rRNA from 1 species
AUUGAACGCUGGCGGCAGGCCUAACACAUGCAAGUCGAACGAGUGGCGGACGGGUGAGUAAUGUCUGGGAAACUGCCUGGUGGAGGGGGAUAACUUCUGGAAAGGGUAGCUAAUACCGCAUCCUCUCGGAUGUGCCCAUAUGGGAUUAGCUAGUGGGUGGGGUAACGGCGCACCUAGGCGACGAUCCCUAGCUGGUCUGAGAGGAUGACCAGCCACACUGGAACUGAGACACGGUCCAGACUCCUACGGGAGGCAGCAGUGGGGAAUAUUGCACAAUGGGCGCAAGCCUGAUGCAGCCAUGCCGCGUGUAUGAAGAAGGCCUUCGGGUUGUAAAGUACUUUCAGCGGGGAGGCGUUACCCGCAGAAGAAGCACCGGCUAACUCCGUGCCAGCAGCCGCGGUAAUUC